GCCACCUCCCAGGAGUUCAGCCAUCGGUGUCACCUUGGAAACGCCUCCUCCGGCCACAAAACCCCAUCCUCUCAGCUCUCCCUGCUAUGUGGAAAAAGCUUCAUCAGCCCCCAAAUCACCACAAAUUGUAGGUGUCAGAGGCAGGAGGCGCCUGAGAAAUAACUGCCACACUCUCGCCUUAAAGACAGGUGGCUGGGGUUAGGGGUGCAGCUCUGGGAACCCUUGGGUUCAGUCCCCAGCACUGAAAACAAACAAGCAAACAACAAAACCGAAGGCCACAAGAGGCAGAGUCCAGAAAUGAGGCCCAUCCUCGACCCUGCACAUAGAUCCACCACUAUUGCCACUGAGUUCACCAACCCACAGCAACCCCAUGGCGCACCUGUGGCCCCCAGAGGACGAGGUCAGGACCAGCCAGCAGCUGUUCUGGGACACAACCAGGCCAGGCACCAAUCUGCCUGGGCCACCCUCUCAAGGUACUGAAGAACCCGACCCGGUCACCUCACAGCCUGCCUGAAUGCCUGCAGCCAGUCAGGUGCUCACAGGAGCAGGAACAGCUGACACGUGCUCUUCAGGCUGAACGGAUGAACCAGGCACUGGAAAAGACAUGGCCUUGCUCUGCUGCUGAAGAUGACCCGAGCACCUUUGCACUGGUCAGGACACUCCUGGAGGGCCUGGCAGUUGGGUGGCCCAGGCUGGCCUGGAUGGAGCCCCUGGGAACCCAGAAGCUAUUCCCCCACCAGAGCAGGAAGGUCACUGCUUUCCCCGAACCGAGAAAGGGGCUACGGUAGAGCUGUGACCUAUAGGCCCCAACCCACAAGCAUCCUGCUGGGGUUCUUUUCUAGACUCAGCAUACAGAUGAGGGAGAGGUUCCUCUGCUGAGGGGACAGAGCCUCUCCAGGGAGGCCCAAGCCUGGACCCGCAUUUAGGGUGAAGUCCAGUGGGUUUGGCUUUGUCUUACAGACCAAGGCUCCGAGAGCCUUCUGGAAUGUGCUGCAUUCUGGUCAGAAGAGUACGUUGCUCUCUGGGGACACCAAACACAGGUCCUUGUGAGGCUGUGUUUCCUGUGGGUGGCGACCCAGGGCAGGCGAGCCCACCUGCCAAAGCCUCCAGAGGGUGGCUCUGGGACUGCACUUUCUUCCGGUCACCAGCCUGGAGCUGUUCCACCACAUCACCAUGCUCCUUCUGCCUUUGUCUGCGAUGGCCUCAGACUUAUGAUGCUCCUGCCUCAGCUUCCCAAGUGCUGGGAGGACAGUCCAAGUCUGUCUGAGAUGGGCACUGCACUGCUGCCUCCGGGGACCACACUGGUGUCCUGCACAGGGCAGGCAACCAGAGAGGCCACAUCACAGCUCUGUGUCUAUACCUGACAAGGCCACACCUUCCUGCCCCGCAGGUCUCCACCUUGAAACCUGCUUUGCCCUUCACCAGACAUGACAUUGAGAUCCACCCACAGGGUCCAACAUUCAAGUCCACCGUCUGACCCCCACCUGCCACUCACCAAGGACCCUUUGUUCCAAGUAAAGAGAAAGAUCAGAAGAGACCACGAAGGCCAGGGAUGGUGGCACAUGCCUAUAACCCCAGCUACUUGGAAGCUGAGAAAAGAAGAUCACAAGCCCCGUGGGCAAUUUAGCCUGACCCUGUCUCAAAGAAACAUCGGCUGGGAAUGUAGCUCAGUGGCAGAGUGCUUGCCUAGCAUGUAAGAGGACCUGGGUUCAAUCCCCAGUACCAAAAUUUUUUAAAUUAAACAAAAUAAUAAUAAAGAGACCACCCAGCAAUCAAAACCGGUCAGGACACUGGAACUUGGGCUCUAACCAGAGGAAACCAAGGAGUCUCAUGUGCUCAUGGUGGAUGCGGAGACCGCAGGUACCACCAUGAGCCACACAAGCGGGGGUUUCCAGGCAGAGGAUGGUAACCAGGCUUUCCCCUUUCCAUCACCAGUCAGGGGCCCCAGGGGCAGACUGAGACAAAAACAGCCCAGAGCCCAGCACAGGGACUCCUGGAGCACAGCUGUCACACAUCUGAACCAGGGGAGAGGACGAGGAGCCUGCAGGGCCAUCCAGAACAGUGUCCGGAUCUGCUGUGGGAUGAGGAGCUGCCAUGACAGCCUGUACGGGGGAAGCCUCCUCUGCUUGCCUUAGGAGGGCCUGCGGGGUGCCAACUCGCUUCCCUGGAGUACUCUUUCCAGAGCACAGCCCACUGAGGUCCACUGCGCCUGAAGGGUGCUGCCUGUGGCAGAGGAAGCCGAGGCCACUGGUCUGGCACUGCAGAGCCCCAGUCAGCAGAGUAACGACAAAGAGAACAGGCAGCCUCUGGUAUGUCAGAGGGGGGGUGCUGGUCGGACAGGAAUGCUGUGCCUGGCUCACAGCCACAUACAAUGGUGUGAUCAAAAAGUACAGUGAAUGUUUACAUUCAAAAAAUGUUUUACAGUAAGGCACGAAGCCAUGAAUCCCCCUUAAAACAUUCUCCUUUGCUUUGAACACAUGCAUCCCAUCCAUCUUGCCACUUUCUGCAGCAGUUUUGGAGGCCUCUUUUCUGAAGGUCUGUUAUGGCUGUGUCUAGAUGUCCCCCAAAGCCUCAUGCAGUCAUAGGUAGGGCUAGGGUACAAUAGUGCAAUGCUAGGAUUCAUGGUGCAACUCUAGGAUUAAAGGUGCCAGGAUUAAGGAUGGGUGAUUACUAAAUCAGUUCACUGAUUAGUUUGGCAUGGUUCUAAUCCCAGGGUAGAAUAUAAAUCACAGGAGGUGGCUCAUCGUGUCCCUCACUUGCUCUUCAGCUUUCUACCCACCAUGAACUGUUUCUCCUCUGUGAUGCCUGUUUGCCACAUCACCCUCUUUGGAGCCAGCUGACUAUGAAGCAAAACCUCUACAAACUGCAAGCUGAAUAAACCUUUCCUCCUUCACUGUGCAUGUUGGGUAUUUUGUCUCAGCAAUGAGAAAAGUAACUAAGACAGUUCAUUCUAAGGUCCGAUAUCAAACACAGUGAACUCUGCUGCUGCUGAGUCCCUUUCAAGGGAAACACAGCCCAUAAAAACACAAGGCUGGAUCCUCAUCCACCUUAUCCACCAGCUCCAUUGUGCGACUCCUGGCUCUUCCCAAAGUCAAAACGACCAGGAAAGGUCAACAGUGUCAAUCAGAUCAGAACAUCCGGCAGCCACAACAGCACAUCGAGGCAUCAGGAAAGAAGCCUCCCGGAGCUGCUACAGAUUGUGGCAAGAGUGACAGGUAAGUGUAUUUAAGGUGGUGAGGGAGAGGAUAUGGAGAGGGAUUCAUGGCAUUGUCUUUCAGUGGUAAUAAACUUUAAAACUGUAAACAUUUACCAUAUCGUUCCAUCACACCAAGUAGCUCUCCCUUCCCACGCUGUUUUGGCAAUGCUGGGAAUGGAACCCAGGAUCCUGCAUGUGCUAGGCAACUGUUCUACUCCCCCCGCCAGGCACCCAGCCCGCACAGGCACUUCUGAAGCAAGGCAGUGAGCAGCUCUGUGUUGGCCCUUAAGAUUUGGGAAGGGCACUUCCACCCAGGCCCAUGAGGGCAGUGUGGCCAGACCCUCACAUGUGCCAUGCUGGGCAACUAAGCGACUCAGCCAUGUGUCAGAGUUCAGCAAAGCAGAUCGGCACUCUAAGUAGCUACCCGAGGAACGGGGCUGGAGAGAGCAGCAGCGCCGGAGCUGAGUUCUGGCAGGACAGCUUCAGAGGGGGCAGAGGGGAGAGGGUAGCAGGGACAGACCAACGGACACAGUGCUGCUCAGGAAGCGCCGAGCCAGCAGCAAGGUGGACACAGCCUCGUCCUCUAGGUGGUGCUAGCCCAUGUUAGAGAAGCGGGCCUGGCUCUGCACGUGACACGGAACACAAGGAAAGGGUGCAGCAGGAGGCAAAGCCAUAUGGCCGUCAAGGAGAGCAUGCAGGGAAGGGUGGUGUCUGGCUGUGGACACGAGAGUGGGGCAGAUGGCCACAGAGCACCACAUGCAGGCUCCACCUGUGC